CUCUGUAAAUUCGAUUGAGAUUGUGAACGCAACGGUAACGAACACAGCUGCCUACAAAUCGGGCAUGUCUCAUUGGAUUUCAACCAAUCCGAUAAACAAGACCUGUGGUAUUUGUGUUUGCAAUGGGUUUCUACAAUGUCGGUGAUUGGAAGAGCCACGU